UACGUAGGGUGCGAGCGUUAAUCGGAAUUACUGGGCGUAAAGCGUGCGCAGGCGGUUAUGUAAGACAGUUGUGAAAUCCCCGGGCUCAACCUGGGAAUUGCAUCUGUGACUGCAUAGCUAGAGUACGGUAGAGGGGGAUGGAAUUCCGCGUGUAGCAGUGAAAUGCGUAGAUAUGCGGAGGAACACCGAUGGCGAAGGCGGUUCUCUGGACAUUUCCUGACGCUGAGGCACGAAAGCCAGGGGAGCAAACGGG
rnacentral:rRNA from 1 species